rnacentral:lncRNA from 1 species
ACAGGUUAUUUCGGUAAAGAGGGAGACAAAGCCUUUUCACUUCAACUAAUCGUUGAUUGCAGGUAAGCCUGAAGCUUUGAGACGGUUGAUGUCGGUAUUGUGUAGGGCAGUAGGUCGGGGCCUGAGCCCCCCAUUAUAAAAGGGGAAAAGGGAGGGGCCUUAGAGGGAAGCCUAUCAAAUCAAGAAGAAGCUAAGCUUUCAGGCAAGGGAGGUAUAGGCUGCAAAAGAAAAAUUCCAGUCCUACAGCUUCUCUAGCUUGAGCAGUCAGUAGUCUUUACCUUUACAAAUUUAUACGCGUCAGCGAGAAAAGGUAAGCAUAUAGACAUCAUCUUGAUGGAAAUUCCAACUGAGAUGAUUAAUAAUCUAGCUCGGGCUUCCUUAGUUUUCUUAUUUUUUUAGAUGGUCAAAACAAAAU